rnacentral:tRNA from 1 species
GUUUUAAUAGUUUAAAAAAAACGUUGGUUUUGUAAACCAAAAAUAAGAAAAGCCCCCCACUUUUAAAGCU